rfam:Blastocystis hominis, Singapore isolate B (sub-type 7) whole genome shotgun sequence assembly, scaffold_14
CCGAGCUUAGCUCAGUUGGUAGAGCGUUAGACUGUAGUGGCUGCUUCGCAGCAAUCUAAGGGUCGCUGGUUCGAUUCCGGCAGCUCGGA